AUGGAUGGUCUUCUACAUUGGGAUUUCUCCCCCGGUCUUGCGGUCGCGGCUCAGGUGCGUCAACGCUUCGGUUCUACGGUUCACUUCUCUCCCUCAGGUGGUUGCAAGGAGUUCUUUUUGGUGGUUAGCUUCUCUUCGGCCUCCUUCCCUCUCAAUGAAGAAUCUGUUGCUCUGGCUCUACAAUGUUCUAUUGGA
rnacentral:rRNA from 1 species